GAUGAACGCUAGCGAUAGGCUUAACACAUGCAAGUCGAGGGGCAGCGAGAUGUAGCAAUACGUCGUCGGCGACCGGCGAAUGGGUGAGUAACACGUAUGCAACUUACCUCUUAGUGGUGAAUAACUCGAUGAAAGUCGGACUAAUGCACCAUACUCUCCUUAGAUCACAUGAGAAGAGGAGGAAAGAUUAAUCGCUAAGAGAUAGGCCUGCGUUCCAUUAGCUAGUUGGUAAGGUAACGGCUUACCAAGGCAACGAUGGAUAGGGGGACUGAGAGGUUGACCCCCCACAUUGACACUGAGAUACGGGUCAAACUCCUACGGGAGGCAGCAGUGAGGAAUAUUGGUCAAUGGGCGAGAGCCUGAACCAGCCAAGUCGCGUGAAGGAAGACUGCCCGCAAGGGUUGUAAACUUCUUUUGUAUGGGAUUAAAGUCGUCUACGUGUAGACGUUUGCAGUUACCAUACGAAUAAGCAUCGGCUAACUCCGUGCCAGCAGCCGCGGUAAAAGGGCGAAUUCG
rnacentral:rRNA from 1 species